UACAGAGGUCUCAAGCGUUUGUUCGGAUUCAUUGGGCGUAAAGGGUGCGUAGGCGGCGCGGUAAGUCGGGUGUGAAAUCUCGGAGCUUAACUCCGAAACUGCAUUCGAUACUGCCGUGCUUGAGGACUGGAGAGGAGACUGGAAUUUACGGUGUAGCGGUGAAAUGCGUAGAGAUCGGGAGGAACACCAGAGGCGAAGGCGGCUCGCUGGACAAGUAUUGACACUCAACAACGGAAAGCGUGGGGAGCAAACAGG
rnacentral:rRNA from 1 species